rnacentral:rRNA from 1 species
GAUGAACGCUGGCGGCGUGCCUAAUACAUGCAAGUCGAGCGAACAGACGAGGAGCUUGCUUCUCUGACGUUAGCGGCGGACGGGUGAGUAACACGUGGAUAACCUACCUAUAAGACUGGGAUACCUUCGGGACACCGGAGCUAAUACCGGAUAAUAUAUUGAACCGCCUGGUUCAAUAGUGAAAGACGGUUUUGCUGUCACUUAUAGAUGGAUCCGCGCCGCAUUAGCUAGUUGGUAAGGUAACGGCUUACCAAGGCAACGAUGCGUAGCCGACCUGAGAGGGUGAUCGGCCACACUGGAACGGGGACACGGUCCAGACUCCUACGGGAGGCAGCAGUAGGGAAUCUUCCGCAAUGGGCGAAAGCCUGACGGAGCAACGCCGCGUGAGUGAUGAAGGUCUUCGGAUCGUAAAACUCUGUUAUUAGGGAAGAACAAAUGUGUAAGUAACUAUGCACGUCUUGACGGUACCUAAUCAGAAAGCCACGGCUAACUACGUG